GAGUCUAGGUGUAAAUUUGGGCCUUUGGGGCCUAUAGGUUGUUUCCAAAGCUCCUAAUCCAUGAUUAAGUCUAAAACGUCGAGAAACCCUAACCCUAAUUUACUAUCCUUAUAUUUAGUUUUUCUCUCCACCCUACAUUUCUCCGUAUGUCGUCUUCUGCAGCUUGUGUUUCUCUAUUCAGGGUGGAACACAGUUUUUGUAAUUCGAAGUGUUUUUCUUUUAUGCCUCUUUUUUAAAAAAGAAAUCUGGUAGGAAUGGUAAAGCAAGUCAGCUUCUUGGUUGGGUGUAGAUGGAAACGAACGACCCACUCAAUCAAAUACUUGAAAUAUACUUGCGACAUGUAAACUCAGCCAGUAUCACUCACCUGAAUCUCAUCAUUGUUUCUUGAUUUUCAGGCCCUUUUCCUACUGGCAUAUUCUCUUUCUCUUCAUCCCAGAUACGUCUCUUUUUGCCUCUCCCUUCGUUUCAUUUUUUUUGUUAUUUGAAAAGUAAUCUUUGGCAAACGCACUCUGUCCCAAAGCUGUUGUAAAAGACAUAUUUGUUUUGAGGCAAUUUCUUCGUUUGCUAUAUCAUCAAUUUAAUUGAUUUCUAAUAUACUCGUCCAGUAGAUCCCUCUUCGGUGAUCUUUUUGGGCACAUGGUUGGAAUACAUUUUCCGAUUUUUCCUUCGACCAAAUAAAUUGCAUUUUUGCUUUUUGUAAAGAGAUUUCAACUUGAAUUCUCAAGACUUAUUAUUAUUAUUUUUUGGGUAUGUUUUUCUUAAAAUCCUGACUUGAAUCAAGACCGGAUAGUAAUUUCUGAUAAAGCUGGAGGGAAAUAUAUUCUCAUAUUUCUAGAUAGAAAAUGGGAACUUCGAGAUCUUGUCUAAUAAUGCUAGAAAAAUUUCAGGUAAAAAAAUGUCGAGACCUAAUACCCACGUAAAAGACGAAUCAAUCUUUCAAGUUCUAAGCAUUAUUGCUUCAUAUUAUCAACAUUCUCUUGCGAAUUCUGUCUUGCAAUUUGAAAAGCCUCAAAUAUUUAUAAAUCAACUGUUGUUUUGUACUAUAAAUAUAAAUCAAGACGAUGUAAUCCAAUUAUUCAUUCCUCAUCUUUCUUGAGACAAAUCUCUUAUCUUCAAAAAAAUGAAAAAAAAAAAAAAAAGAGUUUUAAACACAGCGCUUAGAGUUAGCUUUUCGUAUUUCACAAAAAAUACAUUGUUUUAGUAAAGAAAAAAGUUUGAAAAAAAAAAAAAAAGGGAGGCGGGUUGACUUGAAUCAGAAUCAAGCCGGAUCCAUCCAAGUCCAAUUUGAAUUGGUUUUUGGAUCAAAUUCUAUAAUUAUUGAGAUGCAUGACUCGUUUCUAUAUUUUACAAUUUGGCUAUUUUAUUUUUGUAUAUAAUUUAUUUUAUUUACUUCAAAAAGUAAAGAAUAAUAAAAAAUAAGAAAAAUUAAAUUAUUGUUUGACUAAAUUGAAUUAGGAAAGAAACUAAGAAAAGAAAGAAUGAGUGAGGGCAAAAUUCUAUUUGUUCUAAGGUAUGCUUAUAUAAAAUCAUUUCAAUAGAUAUGAAUAUAAAUCAUGAAUAAAAUUUUG
rnacentral:lncRNA from 1 species